ACUUUGUAUGAAAUUGGAACGUUUGCCUACGUUUGCCGCUAGGGACGCUGUUCCAACUGCAUACAAAUUCGAGUUA
rnacentral:pre_miRNA from 1 species